CGGGUGCUGGGUUCAGGUGCUGGAAGGCUAGGUGAGUGUAAGGCAGUGGUCCCUGUGAAAAGCAGGCAGGAGUGCUGACAAUCUGAAACUUUUACGUCAUUUUUCCUCCUUUUGUGUUCUUUUAAAUUGUCCCCCUUUCGCAAAGUGCUUUCAUAAAGAAAAGAACAGGGUGUUGGUAAAUACAAAUAGAUUAAUGUAAAUUUUCCUAACUGCAGAGAAUGUCUAUUGAAUGUGUACUUUUUGAAAUUAUUUCGUUUGCUGAUUUCAGUAGAUUCCAAUGGGAGACCAUUUUGCAUCCAAAACAAACCCGAAGCAUGCUGACCAUAAUGCAGUUUAUCAAGUCUGUUCAAAGGUCGAAAUUAUAAAACAAUUUCCUUACAUUUUAUACUCAGAAGUAAAACAAAAGCAGAUAAAAACCCCCAAUAUUUUUAGACUUAAAAGCCCUAAAACAGCAGAAAGAAUUUGUCAUCUAUCUUCUACCUGGAUAGCGCCCAUUUUACGAGGAGGGUUUGUGAGGCGUGGAGAGUAGGCUCACCCGCCUCCCGCGGGAGGGCUUAAUACCACCCGGACUGCCAUCCUUCUUUUUUCCCCACAUCCUCAGCAUGUGGAAGUUCCCAGGCCAGGGAUCAGACCUGUGCCACAGUGGCUACCCAAGCUGCUGCAGUGACAAUGCCAGAUCCUUAACCCACUAGGCCACCAGGGAACUCCUCAGCUGCCAUCUUGACAGGAACCAUUUUGGGAACUUUUUUUUUUUUUGGGGAAACAUUUUUUUUUUUUUUCCUGAAAGAUUCUUUUUUUUUGUCAGGGGAUGCUUAUUGUUCAUUCAAUAGAAGAACAAAGUCAUAAAAUAACUUAGCAUCUAGAAAAUUGUGAUGGUGUGCUCAUACUUCAGAAAACAUUUAGAUUUAUUUACCCUAAGCCUUCCAAGUACAAUUUCAAAACUUAUCUAUAAAUAACUGAGAAUUGGGAAGUAUUAUAAAAAUAUAUUUAUAUUUUUUUCCUUGUCAGGCAGAAUGGUAUAAAACUUUUCACAAAGGAUAAAUUUCUCUCUCUCCAAUAAAUUCAAGAACAGAUUUCCACAUUCUCUUCCAUAGAAUAUCACCUCGCCUCUUCUGCCCUUCUUUUCUACAUAUUAAACACAUUUCUCCCUUUUUCAUGUUCAGUGUCCAACACUGCUUAUAACGGCCUACAUUUACGCUAAAGCCACAUUUGAUGCUUCCUUUUUACUCAUUUUAACAUCUUGAAAUUUCUUUACUUCUGACAAGGUGAUGUCUCAAACCUUAAAUAAUUUUGUUUUUGUUGCUCUUUCUAAAUUUCUCUUAAUUCUUGAUACUGUGUUUCAAUUAUGGAUUUAAAUUAGAACUAGGGUCUCUAAUGCAGUGAUCAUACCCAGCAUUAUUCUUAUGUUUCUAUUUAAAUAUCUUAGACUAAUGCUUGUUUUUGACAGUAGCAACUUGCCAGUCCCUCAGCUCUUCUAAAUCAAAAACUGUAUCUAAUUUUCUCCAUAUUUGAAAGCAACUUUGAAUGUACCUUUAUUGUGUGUUCUUUCAUGAAUAUAUUUUAAUAAUUCCCUACUAAAUUCAACCUACAUGUUUCUUAACUUGUGAUCAUUGUAGUAAGUAAACAUAUUAGCCUCAAGAAUUAAAUAGAAUGAGAAAGAGAUAAUGGUUCUGUGCCAUUGUAUGGCUAGGAUGCUUGGGGUUUUUAAUUACUUUGGUAAAUUCUGUCAGGGUUUAAGAAAAAAAAUCACAGCAUAUGAAGGGUUAUAAUUCACUUGUGGAAGUUCUGUCUAAUUUAAGGAGUAGAUACAUUAUUAAUGCAAAUUUCUUUGUCCUAGUAGCUGGUCUGUCUCUCGGAGUUGUUAAGGCUUUGUCCUGGGUGAAAACACACUACACCACUCACAAUCAUUAGGUCUGUUCCUGUGCUGGAAUUCUCUAGUACCUUCCGUCAUUUGCAAAGAGUUGCUUUUCUGCCUGAAGAAGUUGUUAAUGACCAUGAGCUGUGUGGCAAGACCUUACUCUGCUUACCCAACAAUCUUUCCCUGUGUCUCUAGCUCAACUCUCCUAUGUUUCAUAAGUGUGCUUGGCACAAAGAUGAUUUAAAGGUGUAGCUACAACAUAAUUUAUAUGUAUUUCAUACUAUUACAGAAUAGUUGAGCAAAAACCCAUAUAACAUUUCAUGAUCAGGAACAUCUUAAAAUCAGGACGGGCACUUUGAAGUGCAACCGUCUCCAUGUAACGAUGGUUUAAGAAAUGUAGCAAUGACUUUCGAAGAACCGAAAGGUUUUACAUUUUGAGGUUCCUCUUAAGAAGAAUGGCAAUGCUAUAGAUUAGACCACUGAAGACAUACAUGAUAAGAACAGGACAGUUUCUGCAUUUUAGGUCACUUAACGACCUAUCAAAAGGGCACCUCUUUGAUGCCAUUAAAAUUUCCAGCUUUUGACAUAUGAAGAUACGUCAGCAGUGAAUUUGGUAUGUAGCAAUUCACCAUUGAUGACAAUGUACUUUUAGUUUCGUGACUCCUGGAAUAACUGAGUUUCCAAGGCUGAAAACUAGGGUUUUUACCAAAAUGCAGAUAAUAUAUUUUGUUACUCAAAAUUAUCUGAGUGGUGAACUUUAGUCAUUUUCUGAAAAAAGUAUUGAUUUUGCUCUCAUUAGUGAAGAGAAAUAGUUUAUAUAAACAUAGAACUUGAGUUUGUUAUUUUCCUUCAACACUUGAAAUUAUUUUUUCCAUUGUCACCUUGUCUAUUUUAUGUGAUGAGAUAUCUGUUGUUUCUUUGCUUCUUUAUAUUGUUUAUUCUAGCUGAUUUUUAAGAUCUUUGCAUUACCUUUGGAGUUCUGUGGCUUCGUUAAAAUCUUUGUGUUUGAAUUUUUUCAUUUAUCUAGAUUAUGCCUUGGAAUGAUUUUCUUUAUAGUAUUCAUGUCUUUCUUUAAAUAUGGAAAAUUAUCAGCUAUUAUCUUUAAAUGGACAUCUGGAAUUCCUAAUAGACAUUGGUAUGCUUUCUCAUUUAUUCCUCCAUGUCUCUUAAUUAUUCCAUCUCUUAACAUUCUGUGCUCAUUCUAGAAAAUUUCUUCAGAUGUAAUUCACGGUUCAUUAGUAUUCUUUUAGGCAGUUUCUUUUUUCAUUCCAAAAGUUUUCACUAAAUUUUAAAAUUUGAAGACUGUAUUUUUCUUUUUCAUAAGUAUUACUUGGUUCUUUUUCAAAUCUGGUAAUAUGUUUUCACAGUGUCUUAAUGUUGGUUUCUCUUUCUUCCUUUUUAACUUCAUAAUUAUUUUAAUGAUUAGUUUAUGCUUUUUUCAUGUUAUUAACAUAUCUCAAAAUUUUAGAAUUCAAAUCCUCCCCCGUAUGGUGCCUGCUUAUUCGUUAUGUUGGGUAAUUCACAAGCGUGGCUUCACUAUUAUUCAUUUAAUUGUAAACUCAUUUUCAGUUUUUUUUUUCUUUAGGAGUCUUGUGUUCUGUUUAAAACAUGUUUCCAUGGAGAAUUAUAGGUUUCUGUUAGUUUAUAUAAAUUCCAUUUGAAGGAUUCAUGCACUGUGAAUAAUAUAAAUUCAAGCUCUAUAUGGAUACCCACCAGAGUGAGGUGUUAUUUGUCACAAUAGAGCUAUUUUUUUUCCUUCCAUUGCAUCUAGAUUCAUAGUCAGACAAGCUCUAGUCACUUCCCUGGAUCAGUGGGUAUAGUUUUUGCUGCUUCAUCAAGUAGGAAGCAGCUCCCUCUUUGGUCAUGAAUUUAUGUAAGAAUUUCUUUUCUAUCUUUCUUCCUUUUUUUUUUUUUUAGUAAGCUUUUUUUUGGUUAAAAUUUUUCUUGUAGUUGAUUUACAAUGUUCUGUCAAUUUCUGCUGUACAGCAAAGCGACCCAGGUGACUCAGUCAUAUCAUGUUCCAUCACAAGUGACUAUAUAUAGUUCCCUGUCUAUACAGCAGGGUCUCAUUGCUCACCCACUCCAAAUGCAAUAGUUUGCAUUUACUAACCCCAAAUUCCCAGUCGAAUUUCAGUUCCAGAUCUCUAGCCUCCUUAGACCGGAGUCCUGCAGCCAUUAGAGACUGAAGGGACCUACCUCUCCCUGGUCAUGACACCAGCUCUCCAUCUUUAUACUCCGUCUCCAAGCUCUCCUUUUCCAACCCUUGAGGGUUUUCAGUGUUUUACUGUUUGCUGAUCUAUAUAUUUAUUUAGAAAUAUUUAUAGUGGUCAUACUGUGAAGGUACGUAUAUAUGAACAAGAGGUGGUAAAUGCCUCAUCUCAGGUAUAAAAUGAAUUAAUAAUCAGUGGUAAACCUACAAGCAUGCAGUGAAAUGAGACAAAUUUUACAAAGUUAGGAGGAAAAGGAUAGUUUUCUGUCACUAUACUACCUGAAACAAUUUUAUGUCCUUCAACACAUCUCUAUGUGGCCUCACAUUCAUUCUGGGUUUUCAAAAUAUUCUUCCAUCUAUUUUAUGUAUUUCCUUCUGGUUCUGUUUUGCUAGAAGAUUUUAUCAAGUUCUCGCCAAUAUUCAUGUGAACUGUGUUAUUCUCCUGGGUAUAUGUUCAAGAUGUGAGUUCCCAUUGUGGGGCAGCGGAAAUGAAUCCAACUAGUAUCCAUGAGGAUGUGGGUUUGAUCCCUGGCCUCGCUCAGUGGGUUAAGGAUCUGGUGCUAUGAGCUGUGGUGAAGGUCACAGAUGCAGCUUGGAUCUGGCAUUGUUGUGGCUGUGGUGUAGGCUGGCAGCUGCAGCUCCGAUUUGACCCCCUAGCUCAGGAACUUCCAUAUGCCGUGGGUACAGCC
rnacentral:lncRNA from 1 species